AGCGCAAGAAAUAUGCAAGUGACUCCAAGUCAGACACUGAGAAUGAGAAGCCAAAGACUGCAAGCCAGCGAGAGAAAAGCUCUUCAAAUGACAAGGAGAAUGCUUCUCCAUGGGACAAAUCCAGAUCUUGGAGAAAAACCAUCAGGG